CCUAUGGGUGGCAGCAGUGAGGAAUAUUGGUCAAUGGGCGGGAGCCUGAACCAGCCAAGUCGCGUGAGGGAUGACGGUCCUACGGAUUGUAAACCUCUUUUGCCGGGGAGCAAGCGUGCGUUCGUGAACGCGCGUCGAGAGUACCCGGAGAAAAAGCAUCGGCUAACUCCGUGCCAGCAGCCGCGGUAAUACGGAGGAUGCGAGCGUUAUCCGGAUUUAUUGGGUUUAAAGGGUGCGUAGGCGGCCUUUUAAGUCAGCGGUGAAAGUCUGUGGCUCAACCAUAGAAUUGCCGUUGAAACUGGGAGGCUUGAGUAUGUUUGAGGCAGGCGGAAUGCGUGGUGUAGCGGUGAAAUGCAUAGAUAUCACGCAGAACUCCGAUUGCGAAGGCAGCAUACCGGCGCCCGACUGACGCUGAGGCACGAAAGCGUGGGGAUCGAACAGGAUUAGAUACCCCAGUAGUC
rnacentral:rRNA from 1 species